rnacentral:rRNA from 1 species
AUUGAACGCUGGCGGCAUGCCUAACACAUGCAAGUCGAGCGGAGCGGCGGACGGGGGAGUAAUGGCUAGGAAUCUGCCUGGUCGUGGGGGAUAACGUCCGGUACCGGGCGCUAAUACCGCAUACUCUCAGUUGAGCCUCGGUCGGAUUAGCUAGUGGGUGGGGUAAAGGCCUACCAAGGCGACGAUCCGUAACUGGUCUGAGAGGAUGAUCAGUCACACUGGAACUGAGACACGGUCCAGACUCCUACGGGAGGCAGCAGUGGGGAAUAUUGGACAAUGGGCGAAAGCCUGAUCCAGCCAUGCCGCGUGUGUGAAGAAGGUCUUCGGAUUGUAAAGCACUUUAAGUUGGGAGGCGUUACCAACAGAAUAAGCACCGGCUAACUUCGUGCCAGCAGCCGCGGUAAUAC